rnacentral:tRNA from 1 species
GCCAAGAUGGCUGAGUGGUUAAAAUGUUUGACUUAUGCUCAAAUGGAUGUUUGUCUGUGUGGGUUCCCACCCUGCUCUUGGUA